rnacentral:rRNA from 1 species
AGGAGAGGAAGGUGGAAUUCCCGGUGUAGCGGUGAAAUGCGUAGAGAUCGGGAGGGAUACCAGUGGCGAAGGCGGCCUUCUGGACUGACACUGACGCUGAGGCGCGAAAGCGUGGGUAGCAAACAGGAUUAGAUACCCUGGUAGUCCACGCCGUAAACGAUGUCGACCAGCCGUUGGACCCCUUGAGGGUCUGGUGGCGCAGUUAACGCAAUAAGUCGACCGCCUGGGGAGUACGGCCGCAAGGCUAAAACUCAAAUGAAUUGACGGGGGCCCGCACAAGCGGUGGAGCAUGUGGUUUAAUUCGAUGCAACGCGAAGAACCUUACCUGCCCUUGACAUCCUGCGAACCCGGAAGAGAUUCCGGGGUGCCUUCGGGAACGCAGAGACAGGUGCUGCAUGGCUGUCGUCAGCUCGUGUUGUGAAAUGUUGGGUUAAGUCCCGUAACGGGCGCAACCCCUAUCCCUUUUUGCCAGCGGUCCGGCCGGGAACUUCAGGGAGACUGCCGGUGACAAACCGGAGGAAGGUGGGGACGACGUCAAGUCAUCAUGGCCCUUACGGGCAGGGCUACACACGUGCUACAAUGGCCGGUACAAAGGGUUGCGAAGCGGCGACGUGAAGCCAAUCCCAUAAAGCCGGCCUCAGUCCGGAUCGGAGUCUGCAACUCGACUCCGUGAAGUCGGAAUCGCUAGUAAUCGUGGAUCAGAAUGCCACGGUGAAUACGUUCCCGGGCCUUGUACACACCGCCCGUCACACCAUGGGAGUGGACUGCACCAGAAGUGGUUAGCUUAACCUUCGGGAGAGCGAUCACCACGGUGUGGUUCAUGACUGGGGUGAAGUCGUAACAAGGUAACC